AUUUGCCGUUCAAAAAAAAAAAAACUAAUGCACCGUAUCCCAUCAGAACUCCGCAGUCAAGCGUGCUUGGGCGAGAGUAGUACUAGGAUGGGUGACCCCCUGGGAAGUCCUCGUGUUGCAACCC
rnacentral:rRNA from 1 species